UUGAGCAACAGUAUUUAAAGUAAGUAUAAGUUAGCCAGUUGUAAUGAAUAUGUUGUUGUUAGCUGCCAUUAACCCCGUGCACAACAGAACAAAGCAUUGCCAGGUCCUGUGCCAGCCCCAUGAUCAGUUGCUGAUAGGACCAUUGUGAUCCAUAGGGUUUUCGUUGACUGAUUUUCUUACAUAGGUAGCAAGGCCUUUCUUCCUAGUCUUUCUUAGCCUGGAAACUCUGCUGAAACCUGUUCAGCAGCAUGCAAAUCUCCACUUUCAGACAGGUGGUGGCUGUGCAUGAGGUGCAUUAGCCCGGAAUCAAAUCCUGGUCUUGUGCCUGGAAUAGGCAAACAUAAUAAACACUACCUCAUUCCCUUCUCAUCCCUCCUGUCAUUGGAUGCCACGUGGUGUUUAAACGGGGACUUUCUAGAGUUUAGGUUUGGAGAGAUGUUGUGAAACAAGCACUGGACUUGGAGUCAGAGGGCCUGACUGAAUUCUGACGACAUGAUUCACUAAGCACACGGCUUUAGAUUUAUCCCCACGGGCAUUCGUUUUCAUCAUUUGUGAAAUGGGAUCAUGAUACUGUGAACACAAGGAAGCUGUCAAGACUGAAUGAGAUAUGGAUGUGAAAGUGCUUUAUGUACUGAACCCACCAACUGCUCAAAGGAACAAAGAUGUGGCAGUCUGCUUCUGUAAAGAUUACAGCCUUGGAAACCCUAUGGGGAAGUUCUACUCCGCCACAUGGGGCCACCAUGAGUCAGCAUAGACUUGAUGGCUACGAGUUUGGUUUUGGAUUGUGGGCAGAGAAGUCAGCGCUGCAGAAUGAAGUGUGAUAGCAGAGCAUUGGUUCCUCGUGGUGUAGGCAGGAGAUGCCAACAUAGUCUCAAGUGUCCACCUGAUCCAGGAAGCUCCCUCCUCACAAGCAUCCCUCUCCAACCCAACGUCCAGUCCAAUCACUAUCUGAAGAGUUGGCUUUAGGAAUGGUUCCUAUCCCGGGCCAACAGAAGGUAUGGGGACAAUGACCACCAGGGUCCUUCUAGUCUCAGUCAGACCAUUAAGUCUGGUCUUUUUAUGAGAAUUUGGGGUCUGAUCCCACUGCUCUCUUGUUCCCUCAGGGGUUCUCUGUUGUGUUCCCUGUCAGGGCAGUCAUCGUUUGUAGCCGGGCAUUAUCUAGCUCUUCUGGUCUCAGGCUGAUGUAGUCUCUGCUUUAUGUGGCGCUUUCUGUCUCUUGGGCUCAUAAUUGCCUUCUGUCCUUGGUGUUCUUCAUUCUCUUUUGAUCCAGGUGGGUUGAGACCAAUUGAUGCAUCUUAGAUGGCUGCUUGCUAACAUUUAAGACCCCAGACACCACUCUCCAAAGUAGGAUGCAAAAUGUUUUCUUAAUAGAUUUUAUUACGCCAAUUGACUUAGAUGUCCCCUGAAACCUUGGUCCCCAAAACCCCGCCCCUCCUAUGCUGGCUUUGAAGCAUUCAGUUUAUUCAGGAAACUUCUUUGCUUUUGGUUCAGUCCAGUCGUGCUGUAUUGUGUGUUGUCUUUCCCGUCACCUAAAUAGUUCUCAUCUACUAUCUAAUUAGUGAAUACCCCUCUCCCUCCCCCCCAUAACCAUCAAACAAUAUUUUCUUCUCUGUUUAAAAUAUUUUUCGAGUUCUUAUAACAGUGGUGUUAUACAAUAUUUGUCCUUUUGCAACUAAUUUCACUCAGCAUAAUGCCUUCCAGAUUCCUCCCUGUUAUGAAAUGUUUCACAGAUUCAUCACUGUUCUUUAUCGAUGCGUAGUAUUCCAUUGUGUAAAUGUACCCUAAUUUAUCCAUUCAUCUGUUGAUGGGCGCUUUGGUUGCUUCCAUCUUUUUGCUACUGUAAACAGUGCUGCAAUGAACAUGGGUGUGCAUUUAUCUGUGUAAAGUCUCUUCUUUCUCUAGGAUAUAUUCCAAGGAGCGGGAUUGCUAGAUCAUAUGGUAGUUCUAUUUCUAGCUUUUUAAGGAAGUGUCAAAUCAAUUUCCAAAGUGGUUGUACCAUUUUACAUUCCCACCAGCAGUAUAUAAGUCUUCCAGUCUCUCCAUAACCUCUCCAACAUUGAUUAUUUCAUGUUUUUUGGAAAAAUGCCAGCCUUGUUGGAGUGAGAUGGAAUCUCAUUGUAGUUUUGAUUUGCAUUUCUGGAAUGGCUAAUAAUCAUGAGCAUUUCCUCAUGUAUCUGUUAGCUACCUGAAUGUCUUCUUUAGUGAAGUGUCUGUUCAUGCUCAUUUUUUAAAUGGGUUAUUGAUAUUUUUGAAGUUCAGUUUUUAGAGAUCAGGUGCUGAUCGGAAAUGUCAUAGCUAAGAACUUUUUCCCAGUCUGUAAGUAAUCUUUUUACUCUUUUGGUGAAGCCUUUGGAUAAGCAUAAGUGUUUGAUUUUUAGGAGCUCUCAGUUAUCUGCUUUUUCUUCUGCAUUGUUAGUAAUGUUUUGUAUACUGUUUAUGCCAUAUAUCAGGGCUCCUGACAUUGUCCCUAUUUUUCUUCCAUGAACUUUAUCAUUUUAGAUUUUAUAUUUAGGUCUUUGAUCCAUUUUGAGUUAUUUUUUGUGCAUGGAGUGAGGUAUGGGUCUUGUUUCAUUUUUUUGCAGAUGGAUAUCCAGUUAUCCAACACCGUUUGUUAAACAGACUAUCUUUUCCCCAU